GCUGGGGAUGCAGCUCAGUGGUAGAGCACUUGCCUGGCAUGCAGUGGCCCUGGAUUCAAUUCCCAAUACUGCA
rnacentral:tRNA from 1 species